GGGGAUAUAGCUCAGUUGGUAGAGUGCACGCUUCACAUGCACAAGGUCCUGGGUUCAAUUCCUAGCACCACCA
rnacentral:tRNA from 1 species